UAAAGGUUUAUUCAUAAAAGGAAAAAGAUAUAGAUGAGAGUUAGAAUUGGUUAAAUGGAAUCAAUUACAUACAGUAAUGGCAAAGUUCUUGGUUCAGGCUUGUAGUAGUGAUGGAAUAAACUGAAGGCACAAAUCAAGUCUUUGGAGUACAUCCAUAGCUGGGAUGGGUCAUUCAGUUCUUUGUUUAAAGCUUCAGUUUGUAGUAAAGUCCUUCCAGAGAUCAGAAACAGAAUUGAAGACAAGACAGAGGUGCUGCAUCACCCUUUUU